rnacentral:sRNA from 1 species
GUCUUUAGCUAUUUUCAAACUAGGACUCCAAGCUUCUUGCAAACUCUUUGCUAAAUAAUGCCUUGGUGGCAUGAGGCACAUCCCUAAAAUAGCUAAUUUACUCCUAGGGAAUUUUUGAUGAUUCUUAACAGUGUGAAAACUGAUUCUGGCAGUAUUUAGGUUCAUGGAAAUCUUACCGCUGGUCACGGUCUCCUGGUUGAGUUGAUAAUCACAUUUCAAUUGGUGUUUACUAUCUUUGCCAGCUGUGAUUCCAAACGGACUGAUGUCACUGGCUCAAUAGCUUUAGCAAUUGGAUUUUCUGUUGCAAUUGGACAUUUAUUUGCAAUCAAUUAUACUGGUGCCAGCAUGAAUCCCGCCCGAUCCUUUGGACCUGCAGUUAUCAUGGGAAAUUGGGAAAACCAUUGGAUAUAUUGGGUUGGGCCCAUCAUAGGAGCUGUCCUCGCUGGCGGCCUUUAUGAGUAUGUCUUCUGUCCAGAUGUUGAACUCAAACGUCGUUUUAAAGAAGCCUUCAGCAAAGCUGCCCAGCAAACAAAAGGAAGCUACAUGGAGGUGGAGGACAACAGGAGUCAGGUAGAGACGGAUGACCUGAUUCUAAAACCUGGAGUG